UACUUGAGGUUGGACCAGAUGAUGUUUUCUUGAGAGAAGCAGAAAACGCCAAGUCGGCCUCCACGCAUUGUGGUGUCUAUGGUGACUCCAGAGUCAGCCACCAACUCGGAGCCUUCAUAAAAUCGUACCCUGUGGACAACACAGCCGGAGGGGUCUCCAUGAAAUCCAACCCGGGAUUCAGCUCUCCCUAAGUAGAGUUGGAGGAAUCUGUGUGGACACUUUGGGUUGUCACAGGGGCACUGAGUGAUGGCAGCCAGGGAUGCUGGAUGGCGUGCAGUGCCCUAGAGAGAACAAUCAAAACCUGUCCUGCAUUCCCUACACUUCUGGAGUGUUCCUCAGACACCAGGGUUCUCCACCCUGCAGUCACAAAAGUCCUGGCAUGUCCUUGGGGACUAUCCUAGGUCAGAACUGCUCAGGGAAGUGAAGGCUCUGGGAUGCAGAACAGAGGGUGCUUUGCUUCUAGGGCAAGGAGAAAUACUUGUAUUGAGCAUCAUGAAGCUCGUGUUGCUAACCUCACAGGCAAUCGACAGCCUGGGAGAUAGUCCCUAGGGCUUCAGAGCUCGUGUGGUGCUCAUCCCACCAUCUUCAGGCCCACAGUGUGUCCUUUCUCCGCCUCUGCUUUGUUAGGUAAGUGGCAACAGCUAAGAGGCUCUGCUGUUUUUCUAGACACCCGUCUUAAAUGAGUCUUUGCAUAGAGGAAUUCAGCCUGGAGUUUGAAUUCCCCAGUAUCCUACUAACCUGGUUAGGGUUGCUGAUAUCAGGACAACUGUCACAGGCGUCCCCCACACCAUCACCAUCCUUGUCCCGUUGGUCACGAUUGGGAAAUCUUGGGCAGUUGUCCAGAAUGUUUUUUAUUCCUGUGAGAAAGAAAUGCUACCUUGAGUCAGGGGGAUGUCACUGACUUCUAGGUGCUGGAGAGAUCAGGUACAUGGUGAGUCGCUUCUGCCUGGGCCAGGGUCACACAGGGACUAGCCUUUUCAGCAGUUAUCCAGAGGUAGCUUCAAAGGAUGGAUCCUGGGAGACUUAACAAUGAACAGCUCUCAGAGGUAUUUGUCGACUGAAUUCUAAUUUGUCCAAGAUGUCAAAGGCUAUGAUAGCAACCAGAGGAGGGGAUCAUGAUGGCUGUAUGGGCUGACCCUGGAGAGGGAGGAUCUCAUGGGUAUCUGAGCUAUGACUGAGACCCUAGGGCUCUAGGCAGUGUUGUGUUGGAGCUGGUCCAUUGUGUCCCUCUCUCUUUUCAGUUUUGUGUUUGAUGAUGUCACAUUGGUAGCUUGAAAUCAGCAAUGAGGACAGUAUGGAGUUACCUCAUGGAAACUGGCAAAUGCUACCAACCAGGGCUUUCUGUGGUUUGUUUACCAGCACACCACUGGAAGUGGGUCAUCAGGUAGGCUUGCAGAAGGUGAGGUCAUGUUUUAGGGGGGGUGCUCAAUGCCUUCUCAUUCAGUUCUUCACUUCUGGGUCUCUCACGUGUAGAAAGUCUAGUAGCGAGUGAGGAGAGGUAGAAAUGGGAAGGGAGAUGCCCACGAAGACACACCCUGAUAAGACACUGCUUGAAGGGGUCCUACAAAGUUUCUGGCAAUGAUACAAAGUCCUGGAAACAUCCAGAGCCAUUAAGUAGUGGAGUGGGCUGUGGAGUCUCCUUCCACAGACACAAGUCCACCUUGGGCCCUCCAGAUGCAGGCCACAGUGAGCCACCCACAGCUGGAAGGCCCUGAAUCAGUCAUUCUAUUCCUACUCUGGAGAGAGAACAAUGGAACAAGGUCAAUUGAAUCCCAGAUAAAAGACAAAAGCAAGAUAAAUCUACCAUCUCCAUCCAUGUCAUCAUCACAGGCAUCUCCUCUUCCAUCCCCAUCUGUGUCUUUCUGGUCAUUAUUUAAGACACUCAGGCAGUUAUCACAGGCAUCUCCAAAGAUAUCUUUAUCGCUGUUCCUUUGGUCCACAUUGUGAAUCAGGACACAGUUAUCCUAAAAGAUGAAAGGAUAGAACAUCACUCAGACUUUUACUAAAUCCACUUCCCCCAUUGUUAAGAAGCGUCAGAACUCUGGUGGCCCAAGUUUGUCAGUUUCAUAUUUCAAACAUUUGUGAAUCUUAAGGAGUAAAAAGCUGCAGUGCUGUGGAAUGCAGGCAUGGAAACUAACAUUUGGGAUGAUUCAUAUACACAGUUGACUUCACAGGCUUUCUCCCAUCAUCCCUGGUACAUGGCAAUUCACAGGCCCUCCCAGCAAAGCAGGUACCUGCUCAUUCAGGAUCCCGUCUCCAUCAGCAUCCUCGUCACAAGCGUCGCCAAUGCCAUCUCUGUCUGCAUCUUCUUGGCCAGAAUUUGGCACAUACUUGCAGUUGUCCUUAGGGGGAAAACGCAGUUCUGAAUGACAUCCUACAUUUGUGUUAAGCUAGUAACUGUUUCUGACCUCAACACACUGUGGCUUUAUUGUUGGUGACUGUUUCACUUCAUCUGAGAUGCAGCUACUUUACAAGUGCAAUUUUAAAUUAGAUCCAUAGAACCUCUCCCCAUAGAAGAUGUGACUUUGGAAAGCCACAGUGCAUGUGUGCCUACUGUCACCCCAGCACCCCUUACCUUCUUACAGUUCCUGGCAGAGCAUGGCAGUUCUUCAUCAGGGUAACUGUCGAUGUCCACAUCCUUUCCACAGACAUAGCCAUCGCCAGCCCAACCGACUCCACACUGUAAAGGGAAAGCCCAUCAGAGGCCUGGGAAGCUGAGCCUGGCAGGGAGCUGGGGGCUGACAAGGGCCUCUCUGCUCCUUUGCUCAUUCCCAGGGGGAGGGCCCAGAGUCACUCAGCCUUGUUGGGUGGGGCUUAGAAACUAUUUAAUUGCACUUGAGUAGUGUGAUGGUUCCCUAUUCAAAAGAUGUAAAGGGAGACGUAGAGAGAAAACUCUCCCUCCCACUCCCACUUCCGCUUCCAGAACAAGCAGAGCAGCAGAAGGGAGACGGGAGGAGGGGACCCAGAAGAUCACAGGGAACUGGAAAUGCAGAGGGACGGAAAGCUGACCUGGGGUGGGAGAUAAAGGAGGGAGGAGGGAGAGAGUCUGAGGAGCAGAGUCUGGGCCAAUGGAAAUCAGACUUAUGUGAGCACAGGUUAAAUUUCCUGGCCUCACCACCCAAAAUAAGGAGCUUCCAGACCAGUGACUUCCUCAGCCGCAGCCUGCCUAUUCUCAAUCAUCUGUGCUCUCCCUCUACAACCAGGAUUCAGGAGGCAGGACUCCAGAGAGACCCUACCGGGCUCCUGGUUCCUGCUCACUCGCCCCAGCAGGGCCUUUGGAAGGCCUGGAAGGUUGAUCCAUGAGGUUGGUCCUUGACUCACUUUAAUGAGGAAAAAAUGUCCUCUAGGAACAAAUACAUUUUUAAUGAGCCAUUUUCUGGCAGAUUCAAUUAUUUUAGUAGUCACACCAAGUUUAUUAAUCCUUUACCAUCUGUCGUUGUGCCUUAUUACAAAUUCAAAAACAUAUUAAAAGCCCCAUCACCCACCAUCCCAGGGGAGUUGUCAAUUUGUUCACAGAAAAUGGGGAUUUCAACAGAGAUAUACACUUGCUUCUCAAUGACUGCUUUUUGGUAAUAAACAAGCCCAACCAUGAGGAAUUCAGGAACUUGCUGGGGUUAUUCCCUCUCUGAUACAGCACAUUCCUCCAUCUGACCUUGUUACAGAAUAUCUGUAUUGCCAAGGAGGGCUGACUUUAUUAUAUUUAUUUAUUUAACUCAUUUUUGACUCUUAUUUUUCCUAUUUGAAAAGUGAUAGGCUCAUUGUGGAAAACUGUGCAUGCAUAAAGAUAAAGAAGCAUAACUUUGAGACAAAGAAGAUGGAAAAGGGCUCUAAGAAUCCAUCAUGCUGCUCAGGGGUGAUCACUGUGAACCGGUGAAUCCAGAGUCUGACAAGCCACCUGCCAAAGGCCUGGUACCCCGGGAAGUGCAGAGGAGGGGGGCAGCUGAAGUCUGCUGAUUUUUCAGUGCCUAGGGUCCCCAGGACUUUGGAUCCUUGGAUUUGGGAAUGGAUGGCAGGCUGAGGACUCUGGAUCCUUGGAUUUGGGAAUGGAUGGCCGGAGCGCACCCUCUCCUUCACGUAGGGCCCACUACAAGCUCAGCAUGAGACCCAUGUCAGGCCCUGCUGUGACUGCUCUACUCUCUUCCCAGUCUCCCCUCCCCAGACCAGCUCCAGGGCUGGAUAAUGCACAGGAGGCGUGACCAUUCACGGAGCUGUCCCUGAUUGGAGUGGAGGUAGACAUAGAGCAUGGCACCGUCUGGCCCCUGCCAGUCACCUGCGGGAGACGGGAGGUUUCUCCCCGAGGGCCUAUGACAGCCCCCACAUCUCCACGGCGGCCCAUCCCCAACAGGAGCGUCCAGGCAGACACUGUGGAAGUCGUAAGGAUGAGGACAAUUAGAGAUGACAGCAGGUAUGUUGUCAUUAUACAGGCAAGUAGACGGGGCAGAAGAAGGAAAGCGGAGAAGAAUGUUCCUUCACCUCCCUGCUGCUGGCUUCUGGGCCUUUCCACAGAAGGUGCUUGGGAGCUGGGGCUUCACUGGAGGCUCUGGCAUUCAGGUGCCCAAGUAGACAGUGUUGCCCCACAGCCAAGAGGGAGAGAAAAGGCAGCUGAUGGUUAGAUGGAUGUCAGGCUGCUCCCCACAAACUCAGUGGACCCUGUUCCUAUUACACUGCAUGCUCAUUUUGAUUGCAAUGCUUUCAUUUUGAAGUACUUUUACCCCGAAGCACGCAGAAACUGGAGAGAGGUGAUGUUAAAAAUGAAGGAGGAAAAAUGAUAGAGGAAGUCAAAAAUGAAGAGGAAAAAUGAUAGAGGAAGUCAAAAAACAACUUACCACACAUGUCACAUCCCCCUGCCUCUCUUCAAUGCACCGGGCAUUCACACUGCAAGGGUUCAGCUCUGGGUUUCUGCAGUUUCUUUCCAUUUUGCAUCCUCUUAUCUGAUCACCAGUAUACCCUGGCUUGCAAGGCCCACAGCGGUAAGAUCCCUGCAGGGAACAAAGAUCAGGUGAUGAGCUGAAAGCUGUGAGCAAAGGUACAGUUUGAGCAAAGGUAUGGUUAUUGUGUCUAUUUUCACAGGUACUCAUUGCUGGCAGGAUUCAGGCAUCAGACCCCUGCCUGCCUCUCUGCUUACAUGUAAGAUCGUGUGAAUGUUGGUGAAAACACCAUCAGACUGGAGGCUGUGUCCGGCCACUCAGACAAACAAGGAAUAGAAGUGAGGGAAGUAGGCUGCACAGUGAACCAGACACUGAGUUGCCCGUGCCACCGUGGAGGGCAUAAGGGGAGAGGCCAAAAGUUCCAAUGAAGUCCUGGGAGGUGGUGUGAGAAGCUUACUCUGGGGACAGGGAGAUGAUCUGCUUAAGAAGCAAGUUAAUUUUUCUUCUUGCUGUUCCUUUGGCUCUUUUACAAUGGAAUGACAAAGGAAUGGGUGCACAGAGAAAUGCUGGUGGCCUGCAUUGAGAAUUUCUGAUGAGGCAGACUGAGAAACUGACAAAUGAGCUGUCAGCUCCACUGCAGUGACACUUCAGGGGCCAGGUUUUUUAGCUUUUAUAGAUAUAAUAUAUAUAUAAUAUAUAUAAUCAUACUGCACACGAUAUAUGUAAUACAUAUUAUAUAAUAUAUAAAAAUCAAAAUUAAAAUUUUCAUUGUUAUUGAGGUAAAAUUGACAAAACUGAAUAUAUUGAAAGUGUGCAGUGUGAUGAUGUGAUAUACAUAUACAUUGUGAAAUGAUUACUAGUCAGUUAAGUAACACAUCCAUCAACUCACAUAGUUGCCUUCCCCUUUUUUCUUUUUCAGUGAAAACACUUAAGAUCUGCUCUCUUAGCAGAUUUCAUAUCUAUAACAUGGUAUUAUUAACUAAGUCACCAUGCUGUAUUUUUCAUCUUAUGCAGUUUUAUUGGCAUAAAAUUUAUAGAUCGUAAAAGACAUCCAUUUGAAGUAUGCAGUUUAAUGAUUUAAGUCACUCACAACCUCUUAAUUGCCACAUCCAAAGCACGCUUUCCAACGACCUGUCUCAAUCUCAGCCUCCCUGGCGAUGCUGCCCACUCGCUCCUUUUUCUGGCUUCUGCUCUUUUUCCUUGGCCUAGUCCUUCAUUUUUGGGGUUUCCUGGAGUUCUAUUUACUGUCUACUUUCCUUCUCUCUAGGUGGCUCAGUCAUUACCUUUACACCAAGAUCUCGCAAAUCUAUUUGCAGACUACUUUGUCCUGGUAAAAGCUGAGAAGCAAUAAAUCCCCAUCUAUUCCUAAGCAAUAUAGCAUUGUGGAGAAGAACUCAGGCUCUGUAGCCAACCUGGAAGUCUUCUAAGAUGUGUGACCUUAGUAUAAAUACGUAACAUUUCUUCUUUUUCUUUUUGGAGACAGGGUCUCCCUCUCUCACCCAGACUGGAGUGCAGUGCCGAUCACAGCUCACUGUAACCUCAAACUACUCUUGGACCAAAAUGAUCCUUCAGCUUCAGCCUCCUGAGGAGUUGGGACUAUAGGAAUGCUCCACCAUGCCUGGACUUAAUGAUGUAAUAUUUCUGUG